AACGAACGCUGGCGGCAGGCUUAACACAUGCAAGUCGAACGGUUGUAGCAAUACAGCAGUGGCAGACGGGUGAGUAACACGUGGGAACCUUCCUAGGGGUACGGAACAACUCAGGGAAACUUGAGCUAAUACCGUAUACGUCCGUGAGGAGAAAGAUUUAUCGCCCUUAGACGGGCCCGCGUCGGAUUAGCUAGUUGGUGGGGUAACGGCCUACCAAGGCGACGAUCCGUUGCUGAUCUUAGAGGAUGAUCAGCCACACUGGGACUGAGACACGGCCCAGACUCCUACGGGAGGCAGCAGUGGGGAAUCUUGGACAAUGGGCGCAAGCCUGAUCCAGCCAUGCCGCGUGAGUGAAGAAGGUCUUCGGAUUGUAAAGCUCUUUUGCCAGGGACGAUAAUGACGGUACCUGGAGAAUAAGCCCCGGCAAACUUCGUGCCAGCAGCCGCGGUAAUAC
rnacentral:rRNA from 1 species